rnacentral:rRNA from 1 species
GACGAACGCUGGCGGCGUGCUUAACACAUGCAAGUCGAACGGUGAUGCUCCAGCUUGCUGGAGUGGCUCAGUGGCGAACGGGUGAGUAACACGUGAGCAACCUGCCCCAGACUCUGGAAUAAGCGCUGGAAACGGCGUCUACUCCUGUAUCCGAAACUGGCCCGCAUGGGCAGGGUUUGGACAGUUUUUCGGUUUGGGAUGGGCUCGCGGCCUAUCAGCUUGUUAGUGAGGUAAUGGCUCACCCACGCAACGGAGGGUACGCCGCCUGGGAGGGCGACCGGGCACACUGGGACUGAGGGAGGGCCCAGAGGCCUACGGGGGGCAGCGGGGGGGAAUAUUGCACAAUGGGAGAAAGCCUGAUGCAGCGACGCCGCGUGAGGGAUGACGGCCUUCGGGGUGUAAACCGCUUUCGGCAAGGAAGAAGCGAAAGUGACGGUACCUGCAGAAGAAGCACCGGCUAACUACGUG